rnacentral:snRNA from 1 species
UUGUACAUGAUGUGAGAAAUAUACGAAAAUUGGAACAAUACAGAGAAGAUUAGUAUGGCCCCCGCGCAAGGAUGACACACAAAUUCGAGAAGCAGUUCCAUAUUUUU